rnacentral:rRNA from 1 species
GAGCACGUAGGUGGGUUUGUAAGUCAGAUGUGAAAGCCUUCUGUUCAACGGAAGAAUUGCAUCUGAAACUGCGAGUCUUGAAUGUAGGAGGGGAGAAUGGAACUUCUGGUGGAGCGGUGAAAUGCGUAGAUAUCAGAAGGAACGCCGGCGGCGAAAGCGAUUCUCUGGCCUAUUACUGACACUCAGUGUGCGAAAGCUAGGGGAGCAAACGGGAUUAGAUACCCCGGUAGUCCUAGCCGUAAACGAUGGGCACUAAGUAGAGGGGUUUU